rnacentral:rRNA from 1 species
GUUGACCUCGAAUCAGGUAGGACUACCCGCUGAACUUAAGCAUAUA